UACAGAGGGGGCAAGCGUUAUUCGGAAUUAUUGGGCGUAAAGGGCGCGUAGGCGGCUUUUCAAGUGACGGGUGAAAUCCCUCGGCUUAACCGAGGAACUGCGUCUGAUACUGGAUGGCUAGAGUGUGGGAGAGGGAUGCGGAAUUCCAGGUGUAGCGGUGAAAUGCGUAGAUAUCUGGAGGAACACCGGUGGCGAAGGCGGCAUCCUGGACCACGACUGACGCUGAGUGAGCGAAAGCCAGGGGAGCAAACGGG
rnacentral:rRNA from 1 species